rnacentral:rRNA from 1 species
AUGGGCGCAAGCCUGAUCCAGCCAUACCGCGUGGGUGAAGAAGGCCUUCGGGUUGUAAAGCCCUUUUGUUGGGAAAGAAAUCCUGUCGAUUAAUACUCGGUGGGGAUGACGGUACCCAAAGAAUAAGCACCGGCUAACUUCGUGCCAGCAGCCGCGGUAAUACGAAGGGUGCAAGCGUUACUCGGAAUUACUGGGCGUAAAGCGUGCGUAGGUGGUGGUUUAAGUCUGCUGUGAAAGCCCUGGGCUCAACCUGGGAAUUGCAGUGGAUACUGGAUCACUAGAGUGUGGUAGAGGGAUGCGGAAUUUCUGGUGUAGCAGUGAAAUGCGUAGAGAUCAGAAGGAACAUCCGUGGCGAAGGCGGCAUCCUGGGCCAACACUGACACUGAGGCACGAAAGCGUGGGGAGCAAACAGGAUUAGAUACCCUGGUAGUCCACGCCCUAAACGAUGCGAACUGGAUGUUGGGUGCAACUUGGCACCCAGUAUCGAAGCUAACGCGUUAAGUUCGCCGCCUGGGGAGUACGGUCGCAAGACUGAAACUCAAAGGAAUUGACGGGG